AUUGAGGCUUUGCAAUCGAAG
rnacentral:miRNA from 1 species